rnacentral:rRNA from 1 species
UACGGAGGAUGCAAGCGUUAUCCGGAAUUAUUGGGCGUAAAGCGUCCGCAGGUGGCACUUCAAGUCUGUCGUCAAAGACCGGGGCUUAACCCUGGAAAGGCGAUGGAAACUGAAAGGCUAGAGAGAGGUAGGGGUAGAGGGAAUUCCCAGUGUAGCGGUGAAAUGCGUAGGGAUUGGGAAGAACAUCGGUGGCGAAAGCGCUCUACUGGACCUCAUCUGACACUCAGGGACGAAAGCUAGGGGAGCGAAUGGG